GAUGAACGCUGGCGGCGUGCCUAAUACAUGCAAGUCGAGCGAACAGACGAGGAGCUUGCUCCUCUGACGUUAGCGGCGGACGGGUGAGUAACACGUGGAUAACCUACCUAUAAGACUGGGAUAACUUCGGGAAACCGGAGCUAAUACCGGAUAAUAUAUUGAACCGCAUGGUUCAAUAGUGAAAGACGGUUUUGCUGUCACUUAUAGAUGGAUCCGCGCCGCAUUAGCUAGUUGGUAAGGUAACGGCUUACCAAGGCAACGAUGCGUAGCCGACCUGAGAGGGUGAUCGGCCACACUAGAACUGAGACACGGUCCAGACUCCUACGGGAGGCAGCAGUAGGGAAUCGUCCGCAAUGGGCGAAAGCCUUACGGAGCAACGCCGCGUGUGUGAUGAAGGUCUUCGGAUCGUAAAACUCUGUUAUUAGGGAAGAACAAAUGUGUAAGUAACUAUGCACGUCUUGACGGUACCUGAUCAGAAAGCCACGGCUAACUACGUG
rnacentral:rRNA from 1 species